UGGAUGUUUUAUCUAAGUUUGCAAGACAUUCCUUUCCUUGCAUUAUUAAUUUGUUUUAGUUAUAAUUUUGGAAAUACAGAACAUUUUAUAGCAAAAAGAAAGUUUUGAUGAAAGCAACAAUGCACCAAUUAGAAUGCAGCAAGGAGUCUCCCAAUGACGAGGAUUGAAUACAGCAAGAAUGCAACAUUACAGCAUUCUAUAAGUAGUUGAAGCUCUGAAGAAGAAGUAAAGAACAAGUAAAGAACAAGGACAAGUAAAGAAAAAGCUUUGUAAGCCAUUAGAGAUAAGAUUUUGAUUUUGAUUUUGUUUUUGCGUGUUGAAGCUCUAAAGGAGUGGCUGCAUUUUAUAGUUCAGACUUUGGUGUAACUAUGGCGGUGAGUUAAAUGUUUCUCGUGGAAUGCAAUGGCAGUUGCCAA